CCCUCUGCCGGAGGUCGAGUUUAUGAGCGACUGGGGUGCUGGGGUAACCGAUGGAUGCGCCGUGCAUCAUCACGAAGAAACGUCAAAAUGAGAGCACCCUCGUGAUAGCUCGCGGCGCGCAGUGCAAGUCAAGGUCCGCGCUUUAGCACCCCAAUCCCGAGGAACGUCAACGGACAGCGACGUUGGCAGCGUCCGAUGUCCCGCGACAGGCAUUCGCGCUGACGCGAAAACGGCGAGCCGAAAGCGAGUCGAGUUGAGUGACAACUCUCUUGUUGAUAUCGUCUGGCGGUUCCGGAGAAAGCAAAGAAAACUACAACAUUAGGGGACCUGCUGCAGGCACAUUUGAGACCUGCGGUGGUUGGUGAAUGGUGUUGCAGAUAGAUUCCGUGUGGGGCUGGGCGUCACCCCCGCUGCGCCUCCAGCUGGCCGGGGGGACCAGGGGUGCCUCGGGGAGAGCAGCUGUGGGUGUCCCAUCCUCGCAGAGGAUGGGUGAAAUAGCUGUAGAACGCGCUCCUUCCCCAGCACGCCUCAGUCAUACUUCUGAGAAGCAUCCUCGUGCAACUCUAACCGAGCUUAAUGUUCUUCGGCGUCAUCGGGAGCUGUGCGAUGUCGUUCUCAAUGUUGGCUCCAGAAAAAUAUUUGCACAUCGUGUCAUUCUCUCAGCAUGUAGCCCAUACUUCAGGGCAAUGUUUACUGGGGAGUUGGCGGAAUCUAGACAAACUGAAGUAACGAUACGCGACAUAGACGAGAUGGCUAUGGAAUUACUCAUAGACUUUUGUUACACUUCUCACAUUAUCGUCGAAGAAGCAAAUGUUCAAACUCUCCUUCCAGCAGCGUGCCUUCUUCAAUUAGCAGAAAUUCAAGAUAUAUGUUGCGAAUUUCUCAAACGCCAAUUAGAUCCGUCAAAUUGCUUGGGCAUCCGAGCAUUUGCGGAUACCCAUUCGUGCCGCGAACUUCUGCGAAUUGCCGAUAAGUUUACUCAACAUAAUUUUCAAGAAGUAAUGGAGAGCGAAGAAUUUUUGUUACUACCUGUUGGCCAAUUGGUGGACAUUAUUUCAUCGGACGAACUAAAUGUACGUACGGAGGAGCAAGUAUUUAGCGCCGUGAUGAAUUGGGUCAAGUAUAACGUCACGGAAAGACGACAGCAUCUAUCUCAAGUUCUGCAGCACGUGCGAUUACCGCUGCUUAGCCCGAAAUUUUUAGUCGGCACCGUUGGAUCCGAUCUGUUAGUUCGUUCCGAUGACGCUUGUAGAGACUUGGUGGACGAAGCGAAGAAUUAUCUGCUUCUGCCACAAGAAAGACCGUUGAUGCAGGGACCCAGAACGAGACCCAGAAAACCUACGAGACGAGGAGAGGUGUUGUUCGCCGUUGGUGGAUGGUGUUCGGGUGAUGCCAUUGCUAGCGUCGAAAGAUUUGAUCCUAAUACUGCCGAUUGGAAAAUGGUCGCACCUAUGAGCAAACGAAGAUGCGGAGUAGGCGUAGCGGUAUUAAAUGAUCUGUUAUACGCAGUUGGCGGACACGACGGACAAAGCUACUUAAAUAGCAUUGAACGAUAUGAUCCACAAACGAAUCAGUGGUCUUGUGAUGUAGCGCCUACCACCUCUUGCAGAACCAGUGUGGGUGUCGCUGUGUUGGAUGGAUUUCUAUAUGCAGUUGGUGGCCAGGAUGGAGUACAAUGCCUUAAUCAUGUGGAAAGAUAUGAUCCUAAGGAAAAUAAAUGGUCUAAAGUGUCGCCAAUGACUACCAGAAGAUUAGGAGUGGCGGUUGCUGUGCUCGGAGGUUAUUUAUAUGCCAUCGGCGGGUCUGAUGGACAAUCACCUCUCAACACGGUAGAAAGAUAUGAUCCGAGACAAAAUAAAUGGUCCCAAGUGUCACCGAUGUCUACGAGACGUAAGCAUUUAGGCUGUGCUGUAUUUAAUAAUCUAAUUUAUGCUGUGGGAGGACGAGACGAUUGUAUGGAACUCUCCAGUGCGGAACGUUACAACCCGCAUACGAAUUCCUGGAGUCCUAUAGUAGCGAUGACAUCUAGGAGAAGUGGAGUAGGUUUGGCGGUAGUAAAUGGUCAGUUGUACGCGGUGGGUGGAUUCGAUGGAACUGCGUAUCUAAAAACAAUCGAAGUAUACGAUCCGGAACAGAAUCAAUGGAAGCUAUGCGGUUGUAUGAAUUAUAGGAGACUUGGCGGAGGUGUGGGAGUAAUGCGAGCUCCACAAACUGAGAAUUACAUUUGGUAGCUCAGGCCCCCCUCUUCAGCCCAAAUGGCUGAAACUCCUCUAACUCCUCUUACACCGAUAACGCCAGUUACACCUGUAACCCCUCCCGCCCCUGUAUCGGUUCCUGUUGUUAUAACUAAUACUAGAAAACGCUACCGCCGAUCGAUGAGCAUUAUAUAACUCAUUCCAGCAUAGAUUGUGCGUAGAGAAGAUGCGGAUAUUCCAUCGAUUUACUGCCGUUAUUUUAUAUUUAUAUUACAUCACAUUAUUUUACAGGACUUUUCGUCAAUGUUAUUUGUAUUUUAUUAUAUUAUAUAAUAUAUAGAUUCUAAUUAUUUAGAUUUAUAUGCCUAAAAUAUUCUUAAAGAAAUACCUGGUCUAUCUUACAGAUAGGAUUUUAAAUAAUGUUUUUCUUAUAUGAAGAAAAAGAAAGGCAAAAUCUCUUCCCUAACUUUGCCAGAAACAUACAUAUUUUGAAAAAAAUAUAUUUCCAGCUUCCAUUUUACGUGAAUGAUCGAAAUAAAAAUUUACGUUGUCAGUCGUAGUCAUAAUUUUAAAGGGUUGCUUCUAUGCCCAAUAAUACAAAAAUGUAAUAUAAGAUAUGAUAAUUUCUCUCUAUGUAAGGCUAGACUGCUCUUUUAAAUACAUGGAUACCUUUUUUGUUUAUAAGACUGAAUCUCAACCAGAAAAUAUUAAAAUAUUAAA